rnacentral:piRNA from 1 species
AAAGGAGCAAACGAAGGGGAAAG